CAAGUAAUUAAGUGCAUGUGGUGGAUGCCUUGGCAGUCAGAGGCGAUGAAAGACGUGAUAGCCUGCGAAAAGCUCCGGGGAGGCGGCAAAUAUCCUUUGAUCCGGAGAUGUCUGAAUGGGGGAACCCACCUACUUUAAGGUAGGUAUUGCAACAUGAAUACAUAGUGUUGCAAGGCGAACGAGGGGAAGUGAAACAUCUCAGUACCCUUAGGAAAAGAAAUCAAUUGAGAUUCCCUCAGUAGCGGCGAGCGAACGGGGAUCAGCCCAUUAAGUUAUGUGUGUUUUAGUGGAACGCUCUGGGAAGUGCGAACGUAGAGGGUGAUAUUCCCGUACACGAAAGGGCACACAUAAUGAUGACGAGUAGGGCGAGGCACGUGAAACCUUGUCUGAAUAUGGGGGACCAUCCUCCAAGGCUAAAUACUCCUGACUGACCGAUAGUGAACCAGUACCGUGAGGGAAAGGCGAAAAGAACCCCUGUGAGGGGAGUGAAAUAGAUCCUGAAACCGCAUGCAUACAAGCAGUGGGAGCACCUUCGUGGUGUGACUGCGUACCUUUUGUAUAAUGGGUCAGCGACUUAUAUUCAGUAGCGAGGUUAACCGUAUAGGGGAGCCGUAGAGAAAUCGAGUCUUAAUAGGGCGUUUAGUUGCUGGGUAUAGACCCGAAACCAGGCGAUCUAUCCAUGAGCAGGUUGAAGGUUGGGUAACACUAACUGGAGGACCGAACCCACUGUCGUUGAAAAGCCAGGGGAUGACUUGUGGAUAGGGGUGAAAGGCUAAUCAAGCCUGGUGAUAGCUGGUUCUCCCCGAAAGCUAUUUAGGUAGCGCCUCGGACGAAUACCAUAGGGGGUAGAGCACUGUUUCGGCUAGGGGGUCAUCCCGACUUACCAAACCGAUGCAAACUCCGAAUACCUAUGAGUACUAUCCGGGAGACAGACUGCGGGUGCUAACGUCCGUAGUCAAGAGGAAAACAAUCCAGACCGCCAGCUAAGGCCCCAAAAUCAUAGUUAAGUGGGAAACGAUGUGGGAAGGCAUAGACAGCUAGGAGGUUGGCUUAGAAGCAGCCACCCUUUAAAGAAAGCGUAAUAGCUCACUAGUCGAGUCGGCCUGCGCGGAAGAUGUAACGGGGCUAAAACUAUGUGCCGAAGCUGCGGAUGUAUACUUUGUAUACGUGGUAGGGGAGCGUUCUGUAAGCCGAUGAAGGUGUGUUGAGAAGCAUGCUGGAGGUAUCAGAAGUGCGAAUGCUGACGUGAGUAACGACAAAACGGGUGAAAAACCCGUUCGCCGAAAGACCAAGGGUUCCAGUCCAACGUUAAUCGGGGCUGGGUGAGUCGACCCCUAAGGCGAGGCCGAAAGGCGUAGUCGAUGGGAAAAUGGUUAAUAUUCCAUUACUUCUGUGUAAUGCGAUGAGAGGACGGAGAAGGCUAAAUCAGCCUGGCGUUGGUUGUCCAGGUGAAAGGAUGUAGGCAUGUAUCUUAGGCAAAUCCGGGGUACUCUAUGCUGAGAUCUGAUAGCAAGCUGUACUUGUACAGCGAAGUGGUUGAUGCCAUGCUUCCAGGAAAAGUCUCUAAGCUUCAGUUACACAGGAAUCGUACCCGAAACCGACACAGGUGGUCAGGUCGAGUAGACCAAGGCGCUUGAGAGAACUCUGCUGAAGGAACUAGGCAAAAUGGUACCGUAACUUCGGGAGAAGGUACGCUGUUGUUGGUGAUGGAACUCGCUUCCUGAGCUGACGACAGCCGCAGAAACCAGGCCGCUGCAACUGUUUAUUAAAAACAUAGCACUCUGCAAACACGAAAGUGGACGUAUAGGGUGUGAUGCCUGCCCGGUGCUGGAAGGUUAAUUGAUGGGGUUAGCGUAAGCGAAGCUCUUGAUCGAAGCCCCAGUAAACGGCGGCCGUAACUAUAACGGUCCUAAGGUAGCGAAAUUCCUUGUCGGGUAAGUUCCGACCUGCACGAAUGGCAUAAUGAUGGCGGCGCUGUCUCCAGCAGAGGCUCAGUGAAAUCGAAAUCGCUGUGAAGAUGCAGUGUACCCGCGGCUAGACGGAAAGACCCCGUGAACCUUUACUGCAGCUUGACACUGAACUUUGACCUUACUUGUGUAGGAUAGGUGGGAGGCUUUGAAGCUGGAACGCUAGUUCCAGUGGAGCCGUCCUUGAAAUACCACCCUGGUAAUGUUGAGGUUCUAACUCUGUCCCGUGAUCCGGGACGAGGACCGUGUCUGGUGGGUAGUUUGACUGGGGCGGUCUCCUCCUAAAGAGUAACGGAGGAGUACGAAGGUGCGCUCAGCGUGGUCGGAAAUCACGCGUAGAGUAUAAAGGCAAAAGCGCGCUUAACUGCGAGACCCACAAGUCGAGCAGGUACGAAAGUAGGUCUUAGUGAUCCGGUGGUUCUGUAUGGAAGGGCCAUCGCUCAACGGAUAAAAGGUACUCUGGGGAUAACAGGCUGAUACCGCCCAAGAGUUCAUAUCGACGGCGGUGUUUGGCACCUCGAUGUCGGCUCAUCUCAUCCUGGGGCUGAAGCAGGUCCCAAGGGUAUGGCUGUUCGCCAUUUAAAGAGGUACGCGAGCUGGGUUUAGAACGUCGUGAGACAGUUCGGUCCCUAUCUACCGUGGGCGCUGGAAAUUUGAGAGGAUCUGCUCCUAGUACGAGAGGACCAGAGUGGACGAACCUCUGGUGUACCGGUUGUGACGCCAGUCGCAUCGCCGGGUAGCUAUGUUCGGAAGGGAUAACCGCUGAAAGCAUCUAAGCGGGAAGCCUACCUCAAGAUAAGAUUUCCCUAGGACUUUAUGUCCUCUAAAGAGCCGUUCGAGACUAGGACGUUGAUAGGUUGGAUGUGGAAGCAUAGUGAUAUGUGAAGCUGACCAAUACUAAUUGCUCGUGAGGCUUGACUA
rnacentral:rRNA from 1 species